CUAUGGCAAAAAAUUUGUCAUGGCGGAAGGAG
rnacentral:ncRNA from 1 species